GACAGAGGAGCCAAGCGUUGUCCGGAUUGACUGGGCGUAAAGCGCACGCAGGCGGACGCGCGCGUGGGGUGUGAAAUCUGGCCGCUUAACGGCCAGGCGCCAUCCCAUACGGCGCGUCUGGAGUGAUGCAGAGGUCGAUGGAAUUGCCGGUGUAGUGGUGAAAUGCGUAGAGAUCGGCAGGAACACCCAGGGGGAAACCAGUCGACUGGGCAUCUACUGACGCUGAGGUGCGAGAGCGUGGGGAGCGAACCGG
rnacentral:rRNA from 1 species